rnacentral:rRNA from 1 species
CCUACGGGAGGCAGCAGUGAGGAAUAUUGGUCAAUGGCCGGAAGGCUGAACCAGCCAAGCCGCGUGAAGGACGAAGGUGCCAAGCAUUGUAAACUUCUUUUGUCAAGGGACAAAAUCAGGCUCGAGAGCCUGACCGCAUGUACUUGAAGAAUAAGCAUCGGCUAACUCCGUGCCAGCAGCCGCGGUAAUACGGAGGAUGCGAGCGUUAUCCGGAUUUAUGGGGUUUAAAGGGUGCGUAGGCGGAUUGUUAAGUCAGCGGUAAAAGCCCGGGGCUCAACCCCGGAGAGCCGUUGAAACUGGGUGUCUUGAGAUGGCGAGAGGUAUGCGGAAUGCGCAGUGUAGCGGUGAAAUGCUUAGAUAUUGCGCAGAACUCCGAUUGCGAAGGCAGCAUACCGGCGGAGAUCUGACGCUGAGGCACGAAAGCGUGGGGAUCGAACAGGAUUAGAUACCCGGGUAGUC